rnacentral:lncRNA from 1 species
GGGGAAGACGAAAAGCUCUUGGUGAGGCUGGGCCUUUCUGGGGACGAUGCCGUCCGCAUUCUCAGUGAGCUCGUUCCCCGUCAGCAUCCCCGCCGUGAUCAUGCAGACAGACUGGACGGAGCCGUGGCUGGUCGGGCUGGUCAUCUUCCACGUACUCUGCCUGCUGCUCACCUGCUUCUCAUCCCGGAGGUAUAAGCUACAGGUCGGGCACUUCCUGUGUCUGGUGACGCUGGUCUACUGCGCCGAGUACAUCAAUGAGGUUGCGGCCAUGAACUGGAGGUGAGAACCAGCGCCCCGCCCGCCCGCCCGCACCCCAGGCUCCUUCCCGGCGGGGAGCUCAGCACCCCGUCUUCUCCGGCGCCCCCGACACGUCCUCGCUGUCCAGGACACCAGCGCACGCCUGUCUCCCUGGCCGCUCCCUCCUCGCCUCUGUGUCCUUCCUGCUGCAGCCUCUGCCGGGGUGACCCACUCCGUGUCCCGUGUCCCGUCCCCACGAAACGUCCGCCCUCCCCGCCCCACCCCCUGCAAACUGUCCCCAGCUGCCUGCUCUGUGGGGGCAGCUGCUUCUCCUGGCCUCUUAGGGCAGAGACCCCGCAGUCAGGCAGGGGUCCUCGGGGACGGCGGAGGGGGGCUUUGAAACCAUCAUUGAGGGGAGCACCCCCCCCCCAGGUCUCCUGACUGCCUCCUUAGGAGCGUCUGACCCCAGGGGUCACGGAGCAGAGUUCUGGCCCCUGGCGCUCAGCCCCCCGGCUGCAGGCCCCUACUGGGGGGUCGGGGGCCCUCCCUCCUCCACAGGCAGACCCCUCCCUCCCCCCCAACGAUUUCCUCGGAGCCCCAGCCUCCCAGGCUGCCUUGGACCCGAUAGGCAGCACCUGUUCCCUGUGACCCCCGAGCCCUGGCGGAGCGGGAGAAGGUCAUAUCCUCGACUGGGUCACUGGCUGGUGACGUGAGGCCUGUGUCCUGCCCCCGCCCGGCCACACGGGUCCCCCGCGCCUGCUCCCCCGCCUGCUCCCCCGCCUGCUCCGGGGCGGGGGCCUGAGCUCGCAGAGGCGGCCACCCACCCUGUCCUGCUUCCCAGGAAGGCCUGCAGAGCCUGCCCUACAGGGUUGAGGAGGCCGCCGGCUCGCGCAGCGGUCUCUGCCCCCACCUCGCCUUCCUGUGUGGAGGUGCCUGCCGGUCCCUGCAUGUCCUCUGUCCCCAGGUGCCUGUGGCCUCGGGCCUGGGUCCUGGUGGGAGGACCCGCCUCGCUGAGGGGCGACGCCGUGAGCAGGGGCCGUCGCAAGGGCCGCUGGGCUGCGCCAGGUAACCGCCAGACCCUUCUGCGCGCAGGUCCUUCUCAAAGUACCAGUAUUUCGACUCGAGGGGGAUGUUCGUGUCCCUGGUCUUCUCGGCACCGCUGCUGCUCAACGCCCUGGCCAUCGUGAUCCUGUGGGUGCGCAAGACGCUGGCGGUGAUGAGCGACCUGAGGACCUUACAGCAGCGCCGGGGGCGGCCGAAGCAGCAGUGACGGCUCUGCCCCCGGCUGGCGCCUGGGCAUCCAGACCCGCCCCGCGUCCCGAGACGCUUGGGCUGGCUUUGAAGGGCGCUCGCCCGGCCUGGGUCCACCCAGAAGGUCUGAGUCUCCCUAGUUAAACUGUAAACGGAGCCCCUGCAGUCAAGCCUGAGCUCGGGACACCCUGUCUGUCCAUGUGGGAGGGUUGAGGGGUGGACAGCGCCAUCCACGCGUGGGCACCCCCAUUGGCCCCUGUCACCCCCACCCUCCCCGUCAGCCCCCUGUCACCUCUAUCACUCCCCCAUCACCCCUGUCACCCCCAUGCUCCCCGUCAGCCCCCUGUCACGGUCACCCCUGUCACCCCUGUCACUGCCAUCACCCUGGUCUGGCCUUCGUGGCGACGGCCUCUCCAGGCAGGGCUGCCGCUGGACAGGGCAGGAGGGGCCGCCUGGCCUCUGUGCAGUUGGAGGCGUCACGGCGCCGGCGGAGGCCGGAGUCGGGAUCUUCAGAGGCGGCAGCCGCGCGAGCCCCUUGAGUUGUGCUUCAGGAAGGAACGUCGCCAUUAAAACAGUCAGCAGCUGCCUGGUUCAACUAAGAGGUUUUAUGGCAAAUACCGAGACGGGUUCUGUCCCUUGGUUCCUGCCUCUUACAUUCUGCUCGGGGACAUGCCACCGCCUCUUCUGUUGGAGCAGGUGCGCUGAUUCGGUGUCACGGCCGCGCUGCGGACUAGACCUGCAGCUGGAGGGUGGGGGCCGCAUGUCUAAACUCAGCGUUUGAGAAAGAGGAGGCGGUUGGCUCCUGAUGGGGUUUGAAAAAAUAGCUUGCGAGCCUUCCUGCUGUGACUCAAAGGGAUCAGCGGCAUCUCUGCAGCGCUGGGCGCGGGUUUGAUCCCUGGCCGGGUGCAGUGGGUUAAGGCUCUGACAGGGCUGCAGCUGCAGUGUAGGUCACGCUGGGACGUGGCUCUGAUCCUGGCCCAGGAAAGCCAUGUGCCAUGGGGUGGCCUGAAAAAAAGAGAGGAAGUAGUUUAUGAAUAGUUGUCUUAAUUUUAAGAAGAUGUUUUCCCUUAAAUGAAGUAUAUUUUUCAAAUUUCAAAAGAAAAAAAAUUGGUCACGUGAAAGCAUUAUAUUUAGUGGUUCAGAGGGUAACACUGCUGGAUGAUGGGAUUAAAUCUUGAAAUCCAGACGUAAAGACAGCUGUAAACUCUUAGCAGAGAAAUUAUUUCCUUAAUUUUGACGUUGGUUUUAGAACCGAGUCGAUAGAACUUCCUAGAUCAAUCUCUUGGAGCUUUUAACCUCACAUCCUUUCUUGAUGUGAACGUCUGUACUGAACAUUGAAAAAAUUGACUCAGCAACAGCAUGUCACGUGAAAUCCAGUUUUAGAUGUCUUGCACCUGAUGACAUCCUGAGGGUGCGUUGCUGAAAGUGACCAGUUCAGGGUGUUCCUUGGUGUCCUGGCUUCAGAAGAGUCGCCUGCAUCUGAGCAGCUCCCGGGAGCCCACAGCGGCAGGGGCUGCGGGCGGGGUCGAGUGUCCCCUCCAGCGCCGGCCUGGGGCCAGGGGACAGAAGUGCCCGUGGCAACGUCCUGCCCUUGCCCUCGGCCCCUCGGAGCCCAGGGAGUGCAGGCAUUUCCACCAUCCGGAGCCACUCCUGUCAGCGCGAGACUGUGACUGGCUCUCAGCUGUCCUGUGAAGACCGGGUAAUGACAUCGUCAUUGGCCUGGAUGUGGGGUCAGACGUCCCGUCGAAAAACACGACGUAGGGCCUUUUUGUUCACUGGUGUGUGUAAGUUUUGGGGAAUCGUUGUGUUUUAUUUUCACAAACACAACCUGUUUUUAAAACUUUUAGUAGGUUUCUCUCCAGUGGCUUAAAGGGCAGUGUUUACGAACACCAGGCGUCCUCAUGCUUGGGACACACUCCAAGCCGUCGCUGUCCCAGCACUUCAGGUCACCUCAAGUGUGGGGACUGUGGCCCUUUCGGGGCAUGGGGGUGCUGCUGGGGCUUGGGGCCUCCAGGCGGGUGGAAGGGCAGCCUGUGUCUGUCAUCUGCGGACGAGAAGACGAGAGACACGCGUGGUCAAGGCGCAUUUAGCCCGUUCCAGACCUGCGACCUUCAGUUUGUCAGUUGCUGUGUAAUAAAGUCUUAUUUUAUU